UUCCAGACUCCUACGGGAGGCAGCAGUGGGGAAUAUUGGGCAAUGGGCGCAAGCCUGACCCAGCAAUGCCGCGUGAAGGAAGAAGGCUUUCGGGUUGUAAACUUCUUUGACAGGGGAAGAGCAGAAGACGGUACCCUGAAAACAAGCCACGGCUAACUACGUGCCAGCAGCCGCGGUAAUACGUAGGUGGCAAGCGUUGUCCGGAUUUACUGGGUGUAAAGGGCGUGUAGCCGGGCUUACAAGUCAGAUGUGAAAUCCGGGGGCUCAACCCCCGAACUGCAUUUGAAACUGUAGGUCUUGAGUAUCGGAGAGGCAGGCGGAAUUCCUAGUGUAGCGGUGAAAUGCGUAGAUAUUAGGAGGAACACCAGUGGCGAAGGCGGUCAACUGGACAGCAACUGACGCUGAGGCGCGAAAGCGUGGGUAGCGAACGGGAUUAGAUACCCGCGUAU
rnacentral:rRNA from 1 species